GACGAACGCUGGCGGCGUGCUUAACACAUGCAAGUCGAACGGAAAGGCCCUGCUUUUGUGGGGUGCUCGAGUGGCGAACGGGUGAGUAACACGUGAGUAACCUGCCCUUGACUUUGGGAUAACUUCAGGAAACUGGUGCUAAUACCGGAUAGGAGCUCCUGCUGCAUGGUGGGGGUUGGAAAGUUUCGGCGGUUGGGGAUGGACUCGCCGCUUAUCAGCUUUUUGGUGGGGUAGUGGCUUACCAAGGCUUUGACGGGUAGCCGGCCUGAGAGGGUGACCGGCCACAUUGGGACUGAGAUACGGCCCAGACUCCAACGGGAGGCAGCAGUGGGGAAUAUUGCACAAUGGGCGGAAGCCUGAUGCAGCAACGCGGCGUGCGGGAUGACGGCCUUCGGGUUGUAAACCGAUUUCGACUGUGACGAAGCGUGAGUGACGGUAAUGGGUAAAGAAGCACCGGCUAACUACGUG
rnacentral:rRNA from 1 species